CAGCCGCCGCGGUAACACGUAGGGUGCGAGCGUUAAUCGGAAUUACUGGGCGUAAAGCGUGCGCAGGCGGUUGUGUAAGACAGGUGUGAAAUCCCCGGGCUUAACCUGGGAACUGCGCUUGUGACUGCACAGCUAGAGUAUGGCAGAGGGGGGUGGAAUUCCACGUGUAGCAGUGAAAUGCGUAGAGAUGUGGAGGAACACCGAUGGCGAAGGCAGCCCCCUGGGCCAAUACUGACGCUCAUGCACGAAAGCGUGGGGAGCAAACAGGAUUAGAUACCCCUGUAGUCCCUGUCUCUUAUAU
rnacentral:rRNA from 1 species